AUACGUAGGGAGCGAGCGUUGUCCGGAAUUACUGGGCGUAAAGGGUGCGUAGGCGGCUAGGCAAGUCAGAUGUGAAAUCCCCGGGCUUAACUCGGGUGGUGCAUUUGAAACUGCUUGGCUUGAGUGCAGGAGAGGAAAGCGGAAUUCCUAGUGUAGCGGUGAAAUGCGUAGAUAUUAGGAGGAACACCAGUGGCGAAGGCGGCUUUCUGGACUGUAACUGACGCUGAGGCACGAAAGCGUGGGGAGCAAACGGGAUUAGAUACCCUGGUAGUCCACGCUGUAAACGAUGGAUACUAGGUGUGGGGGAGAUACAACCUCCGUGCCGCAGCAAACGCAAUAAGUAUCCCGCCCGGGGAGUACGGUCGCAAGGCUGAA
rnacentral:rRNA from 1 species